rnacentral:rRNA from 1 species
AGAGAGAGACAUGCGCGCAUAUCAAUAAGCGGAGGAAAAGAAACUAACUAGGAUUCCCUCAGUAACGGCGAGUGAAGCGGGAAGAGCUCAAAUUUGAAAUCUUCAAGGUUCUACCUUGACGAAUUGUAGUUUAAAGAAGUGUUUUCUGUUGGAGUUUUGGUAAAAGUUCUUUGGAAUAGGACAUCAUAGAGGGUGAGAAUCCCGUAUUUGACCAUUAUUUCCAGCUUUGUGAUACACUUUCAAAGAGUCGGAUUGUUUGGGAAUGCAGUCCAAAAUGGGUGGUAAAUUUCAUCUAAAGCUAAAUAUUGGCGAGAGACCGAUAGCGAACAAGUACCGUGAGGGAAAGAUGAAAAGAACUUUGAAAAGAGAGUUAAACAGUACGUGAAAUUGUCAAAAGGGAAGCGUUUGACACCAGUGUUGUUUUCUCGAAAAUCAAUUAAAAAAGGCAGGAUUUUGUGUUGUAUUGACUUUAUCAGCUUUCUGCACUCUUUUCUUGUCUUUUUUAAUGCACUUUUCGUUUAACAAGUCAACAUCAAUUUCUUUUGUUGUAAAAGGGUCAUUGGAAGGUGGCUUUCUUUUCGGAGAAAGUGUUUAUAGCCUUUGGCCUCUGCAAUCGGAGAGAUUGAGGUCUGCAGCGUAGAUCCUUCGGGGUUAGAUACAUUUGUGCUAAGUUAUAGCCUUUCAUAGACAACUUGUUGACUAUGAUCAGUCAUGUAGCUUACUCGCUUAUGUUAUUUUACCUACGCUUAAGAUGUUGAUGUGAUACUGCGAGCA